GGCUCAGGACGAACGCUGGCGGUGUGCUUAACACAUGCAAGUGGAGCGACGAACCAGGGCUUGCCCUGGGGCAGAGCCGCGAACGGGUGAGUAACACGUGGGUAAUCUACCCCUAUGACCGGGACAACCCGAGGAAACUCGGGCUAAUACCGGAUGUGCACGCAGCUCACGAGAGUUGCGUACAAAGGAAGCUUCGGCCUCCGCAUCGGGAGGGGCCCGCGGCCCAUUAGCUUGUUGGUGGGGUAAUGGCCUACCAAGGCUGCGAUGGGUAGCUGGUCUGAGAGGACGAUCAGCCACACUGGGACUGAGACACGGUCCAGACUCCUACGGGAGGCAGCAGUGGGGAAUUUUGGACAAUGGACGCAAGUCUGAUCCAGCCAUUCCGCGUGCAGGAUGAAGGCCCUCGGGUUGUAAACUGCUUUGUACGGAACGAAAAGGUUUCUAUUAAUACUAGGAGCUCAUGACGGUACCGUAAGAAUAAGCACCGGCUAACUACGUG
rnacentral:rRNA from 1 species